UACAGAGGUCUCAAGCGUUGUUCGGAUUCAUUGGGCGUAAAGGGUGCGUAGGCGGCGCGGUAAGUCGGGUGUGAAAUCUCGGGGCUUAACUCCGAAACUGCAUUCGAUACUGCCGUGCUUGAGGACUGGAGAGGAGACUGGAAUUUACGGUGUAGCGGUGAAAUGCGUAGAUAUCGUAAGGAAGACCAGUGGCGAAGGCGGGUCUCUGGACAAGUUCCUGACGCUGAGGCACGAAGGCCAGGGGAGCAAAACGGG
rnacentral:rRNA from 1 species